GUGCUAGGUGGUUCAGUUGGUAGAACAGGUGCACUGUGUGAUGAGGCCAUAGUCUUCGAAGAUGGGUUUGAUUCCCAGUCUCAGACC